rnacentral:rRNA from 1 species
CGGCGGACGGGUGAGUAACACGUGGAUAACCUACCUAUAAGACUGGGAUAACUUCGGGAAACCGGAGCUAAUACCGGAUAAUAUAUUGAACCGCAUGGUUCAAUAGUGAAAGACGGUUUUGCUGUCACUUAUAGAUGGAUCCGCGCGCAUUAGCUAGUUGGUAAGGUAACGGCUUACCAAGGCAACGAUGCGUAGCCGACCUGAGAGGGUGAUCGGCCACACUGGAACUGAGACACGGUCCAG